rnacentral:rRNA from 1 species
UACGGAGGAUGCGAGCGUUAUCCGGAUUUAUUGGGUUUAAAGGGUGCGUAGGCGGUUCGGAAAGUCAGCGGUAAAAGCCCGGGGCUCAACCCCGGCGAGCCGUUGAAACUGUCGGACUAGAGACGGCGAGAAGUACGCGGAAUGCGCGGUGUAGCGGUGAAAUGCAUAGAUAUCGCGCAGAACUCCGAUUGCGAAGGCAGCGUACCGGCGCCGGACUGACGCUGAGGCACGAAAGCGUGGGUAUCGAACAGG